UACGUAGGGUCCAAGCGUUGUUCGGAAUUACUGGGCGUAAAGCGCGCGUAGGCGGGUUUGUAUGUCGAUUGUGAAAUCCCCGGGCUCAACCUGGGAACUGCAGUCGAAACUGCAAAUCUUGAAUGUCUGAGAGGAUGGCGGAAUUCCCGGUGUAGUAGUGAAAUACGUAGAUAUCGGGAAGAACACCUGAGGCGAAGGCGGCUAUCUGGCGGUACAUUGACGCUAAGGCGCGAAAGCGUGGGGAGCAGACGAGGA
rnacentral:rRNA from 1 species